UACGGAGGGUGCAAGCGUUGUCCGGAAUCACUGGGCGUAAAGGGCGCGUAGGCGGGUCUUUAAGUCAGGGGUGAAAUCCUGGAGCUCAACUCCAGAACUGCCUUUGAUACUGAGGAUCUUGAGUUCGGGAGAGGUGAGUGGAACUGCGAGUGUAGAGGUGAAAUUCGUAGAUAUUCGCAAGAACACCAGUGGCGAAGGCGGCUCACUGGCCCGAUACUGACGCUGAGGCACGAAAGCGUGGGGAGCAAACAGG
rnacentral:rRNA from 1 species